AUAAGUUCCCAGGCUAGGGGUCCAAUUGGAGCCACAUCUGCAGCCUACACCUCAGCUCACGGCAAUGCUGGAUCCUUAACCAUCGAACCCAUGUCCUCGUGGAUCCUAGUUGGGUUCGUUACCACGGAACCACGACUGGAAGGAACCCUUUGAAAGUUAUUUCUAUUGGAGGGAUUUGAUCACAGACUUUGCUUUGGGCUUCGGAUGCUGGGUGAGCAUAGAGAACACGGAGUUUGGUCGAGUUCACGGGAAGGGCCAGUUUCUCUUCCAGAACGAAGUCUUCUUUGGCUUGAGAAGAGUCGUUUGCUCACGUGUGGCCCUGCCCAGGCACCCCCACGCGAUGGCACGUCUUCCCUCUUUCCUAAAAGGUUACAUAAUUCUGCAGAUCAGCAUCGUGGGCUUUUGUCCCCGGACAGCCCUUUCUGGCACUGCUAGAUUUCCAGAUGAGAACUGUUUAUUCUGGAUCAGACUUCAUCUGGUCAGCUGAAGUCUCCGGAGUAUGGCGAGUUUUCCUUACCCUUGGCCUACUUUUCGUGGUACUAAAGGUCCUUCUACAGUUUCGCCAAGCACUUUAUAAGACAGUAAUAGUUGAAAGCACGGCUUUCUUUUGCUCUCUCAGUUCCUGUGGCUGUUUCAGGGCGUCACAUGGUGUUGUCUUGAUAAGGGACACCCACAGAGGCAGGAGAGGAAGGUUUUGUUCACGUCAUAAGAUAAAUCAAGGGCCUACCACGUGCCAGCCUCCCUGUCCUCAGGGUUCAUUACCAAACCAGAGAGUUACCCCCUCGCAGGAAGGAUGGUGAUGGAAAUGAGUUCAGAGCCCAAUGGGGGAGAAGAGGCCCUUAGUCCCAGGAGUCCCACGCAGUGUGCUCUCUCCCAAGCCAGUCCAUGGCUCAGAAGCAGAAAAUGACCGGAGGGUUUUGAACCCAUAAAUCAACUCACUUUUCCAUCUUAUCACACACAGCUACGGGGGCAAACCUGAGAGAAGACACAGGAAGGAGGAAGAGGCAGCACAGGGAAGCAAGCCGGCCUCCCCCCUCCUGCGUCCCUAUGCUGCAUUUUCCUCUUUUCCACGUCACCCGGUCUCCACAGUGAUGGUUCUCGUCGCUGUCAUAUGUGACAGUGAGCAUCGUACUUGUUAAUAUGACCCUGAAAACAUGGUAAUUCAAUCCUUCUCUGUCGGUUGUUCGUUAUAAUGAAAAACACCGUGAAAAAGAACUCCCCAUACAUGGAUUUUUUUUUUCUUUCUUUUGGAUGAUUUUCUUGAUGGUAACUCUUAGGAGUGGAAAGCCCAUCAGGCUUCAUCAGGCUUGGGGGGGAUUAGGUCCAUUUAUGUUGAGUUAGAUGCUCUCCUGAUGAAGGUACAGGCUCAUGACAAUAUUCAUGCCUGUGUUUUGACCGUGCUGCCUUUUUUUUUCUUUUUCUUUUUGGUCUUUUUGCCUUUUCUAGGGCCGCUCCCGCAGCAUUUGGAGGUUCCCAGGCUAGUGGUCUAAUCGGAGCUGUAGCCACUGGCCUACGCCAGAGCCACAGCAACACAGAAUCCGAGCCGCGUCUGUAAACUACACCACAGCUCAUGGCAACGCCGGAUCCUUAACCCACUGAGCAAGGCCAGGGAUCGAACCCGAAACUUCAUGGUUUCUUGUGGGAUUUCCACUGCGCCACGACGGGAAGUCCCAAGAUGCUCUUUUAAGAAGCCUGGUCAAGGAGUUCCCAUCAUGGCUCAGCAGUUAAGGAACCCGACUAGCAUCCAUGAGGUUGAGGGUUUGAUCCUUGGCAUGGCUGUGGCUGUGGUGUAGGCUGGUGGCUACAGCUCUGAUUGGACGCUUAGCCUGGGAACCUCCAUAUGCUGUGGGUGCAGCCCUAAAAGGACAAAAAAUAAAAUAAAAUAAAAUAAAAUAAAAUAAAAUAAAAUAAAAUAAACUUAACAUUCAAACACACUCAAAAAAAAAAAAAAAAGGAAUUCCACUGGAAUGUGGGAACCCCACACAGAGCAGGAAGUGUGGUAUUGUGGGGACCUGAGCAAGGAGGGAAUAAAGGUCACGUGCAGAUGGAGGAGGGGUCCUCUUAGGUCUGAGCAGCCUCACGGCUUCUUUAUCCAGAAGUUUGUUGGAGCAGUCUCCCCUCUAAGAGAAGAUUUGAAAACCACCAAUGCACCUCCUUGAUUCAGAACAGAGGCCCAGAGACGGCUUUAACUCGCAGAAGGUGGCUCAGCACUCCAGGACUGCAUUCUGCCUUCAGGCUUCGGGGUUCUCUGCACAGAAAUCCUCUCCUAGGAAAGGAGGGAAACCGAGGAAGCCACUGGGAGCCUGAGGGAGGAGCCCUGAGGAGCCCCCGUGCCUCCCCGGCAUCUCCUCGCUCCUUCCUGUCUCCCCGCAGCUGAGAGGGAUGAGAAACUGGGUGGCAGCGUGUUCAUUUUAUGGUUAUUCUGCGUACCUGACACAUUGGAUAACAAUUCCUUUGAUCUUUUCAGUUGUUAAUUUAUAAAGAAUUAAAAAUGGUAGGAGUUCCUAUUGUGGUCCAACAGGAUCAGUGGUGUCUCUGGAGCGCUGGGAUGCAGGGUCGAUCCCCAGCCUUGGCACAGAGGGUUGAGGAGCUGGCGUUGCUACAGGGUAGGUCAUAAUUGUGCCUGGAUCGGAUCCCUGGCCUGGGAACGUUAUAUGCCGUGGGGCAGCAAAAAAAAAGGUAAAAGCAAGCAUGUCUUCAAAGCUAACUGAGGGGCAGACCGAUCGAGGGUGAGCGCGCAUAGAAACGUCGCACUUUCCUUUUAUACCCAAUUCUGCUGUUCGUUUCUGUCAGCCCCUCCCCAGACCUGGAGAGUCCACACCGCUUACUUUAUCCUCCUUUGAUCAGCCCACGGAUUGUGACCCUUCCCCUUCCAGUUACAUAAACCUUCUUCCUUGUCCCCAAGUCACAAAACAGAAAACCGCCCGUCUGUGCAUGCAUCCUGUUUACUGAGUAGUUGCAAUGUCCCAGGCACUGUUCUAGUCUCUGGCCACACAGCGGGGAAUACAUCAGAAAGAAAUCCCUCCUCACGUUCCAUGGCGGAAGGUGGACACUGAGGCAUGUGGAAAUCCCGGGGCCCAAGAAUGGAACCUGUGCUUCUGCAGUGAUCUGAGCCGUCUUAGUAGCAAUGACAGGUCCCACUGCACCACAAGACAACUCCUGAAAUAGUUGAUUUUAAUCAAUACUAUGCUUGAAAGUGGAUAAAGCAACUUUAGUCCCGCAAGAAAACAACUUGAUGUUUCUUCUCAAAAUGAUUUGUUCUGUGAAGCUGCUAUAAAGCAUGCACUUGCCAACACUUCCCAGCUUACUCGGAGCAAAGAUUUCAUACUCGUACUGCUGGAGAGACAGCCACGUCCUCCAACAUAAGAUAACCCCUUACAGCUACUUCUUUUCCUUCCUAUUCCUGCCACUAGGGGUUCUCCCCCUCCUCACUCUCCUUUUCCUUAAUCCUUGUGUUCUCAGCAAGAGCCAUCUCCCGUGGCUUGUAUACUUCUCAGGUUCCUCUGGCUUAAGCAUCCCCAGGGACUGUUCCCUCCCCUCUUCCCCCUGUAUCAUCGCUCCGCCCCUCUUGCUGGGCCUGGACUCACUGACCUGUUCCUCUCUUGUAUCACAGACCCUAGGCACCCCUAGGGCAGACUGAAAAAAAAUCUGCUCUUUACUGCCUCUACUCAUAAUCUAACCGGUUUCACUCAAGGAGUCAUGUGAAUGCUGCCUCUUCCAGGAAGUCUUCUGUGAUUGCCCCAGCUGAAAUGACUCUCAUAGCACUUCACUGGACCUCUUAAGACGCUCAUCAUUUUCUUUAUAUCAAAUUCUUUUUUUCUUUUUUGGCUGCCGCAUGGCAUAUGGAGUUCCCAGGCCAGGGAUCAAAUCCCAGCCGGAGUUACGACCUAUGCCAUAGCUGUGGCAGUGCCGGAUCCUUUAACCCAGGGCCAGGCCAGGGAUCAAACCUGCAUCCUGAUGCUGCAGAGACAC
rnacentral:lncRNA from 1 species